rnacentral:lncRNA from 1 species
CAAGGUAGGACCCUGGCCAAGACACCCCAGACCCUGGCCACAAUCACCCAAACCCAGACGGCAGCACGAGCCAUGUCUCACCUUGGGAUCUCUCCUGCCACCACCGCCAGAGGAGGGGUCUCGGCCCCACGCAGCCUGGCCCGGCCUUCGGCUUCCACCCUACAAGGGACCCAAGAGACAAGGUGACACCCACAGUGAGACGCCAUCGACUGGGCUCCUCGGGCGGUCGGCGCUGCCCCGUUGGGCUCGAGGAUGGAAAGGCAGGAAGAGAAAGGCCCCGUUUCCUUGCGAGUGGACCUCAGAGUUCCAGACACACAUUAUUCAUCAUCGAUGCCUCAUACGCUGGCAUUGAUCAUCAUCGAUCCAGAAAAGGGGGACCUUCUCUUCCUUCGCCAUGGCCCGUGGAGUCAGGCAUUCCUCCCCGCACGGCCACUGGGCAACCCAAGGGGCCCGCCCCACCCAACGAGACAAGGUGACACCCACAGUGAGACGCCAUCGACUGGGCUCCUCGGGCGGUCGGCGCUGCCCCGUUGGGCUCGAGGAUGGAAAGGCAGGAAGAGAAAGGCCCCGUUUCCUUGCGAGUGGACCUCAGAG